rnacentral:rRNA from 1 species
AGAUUAAGUUAUUAAGGGCGCACGGUGGAUGCCUUGGCACUAGAAGCCGAUGAAGGACGUUACUAACGACGAUAUGCUUUGGUGAGCUGUAAGUAAGCUUUGAUCCAGAGAUUUCCGAAUGGGGAAACCCAGCAUGAGUUAUGUCAUGUUAUCGAUAUGUGAAUACAUAGCAUAUCAGAAGGCACACCCGGAGAACUGAAACAUCUUAGUACCCGGAGGAAGAGAAAGAAAAUUCGAUUCC